AUGCCGAUUGCGAAGAUGGUGGAGAGACUGCUAUGCGAGCGCAUGGGCGUUGUGGAUGAAGGCCAGCAAGUAACAGAGGAAGCCAUUGACAAAUUUGUGGCUAUGUUCCAAGGUAAGCUCCCUGACAUCACGGUGGCAGCUCUCUGGUCGUUGUUCAACCUCAACUGUGACUUGGCGCAUACCAUUGAGGAUGCCCUGGUGGCACAAGGUGGUGAGGCCGGACCGUAACUGCAGGCAGCGGCGGGGGACGCGUCCGACGCGACAGAGUGA
rnacentral:rRNA from 1 species